AGAGUUUGAUCCUGGCUCAGAUUGAACGCUGGCGGUAGGCCUAACACAUGCAAGUCGAGCGGUAACAGGGGUAGCUUGCUACCCGCUGACGAGCGGCGGACGGGUGAGUAAUGCAUAGGAAUCUGCCUGGUAGUGGGGGAUAGCCCAGAGAAAUUUGGAUUAAUACCGCAUACACCCUACGGGGAAAAGCAGGGGAUCAUUCUCUUUUCGGAGAGACCGACCUUGCGCUAUCAGAUGAGCCUAUGUCGGAUUAGCUUGUUGGUGAGGUAAAGGCUCACCAAGGCGACGAUCCGUAGCUGGUCUGAGAGGAUGAUCAGCCACACUGGGACUGAGACACGGCCCAGACUCCUACGGGAGGCAGCAGUGGGGAAUAUUGGACAAUGGGCGAAAGCCUGAUCCAGCCAUACCGCGUGUGUGAAGAAGGCUCUAGGGUUGUAAAGCACUUUCAGCGAGGAGGAAAGGGAAAUCGUUAAUACCGGUUUCCUGUGACGUUACUCGCA
rnacentral:rRNA from 1 species